UUGGGUCGCUUUGCGCAAGUGUCGGAAGCGGAAGUUGUUAAGACGUGGGGGAGUUCUUGGGAGAGAGUCGAGUUUUCCUAGCGCUCGGUGUGUUCGGUCUGCGGCGGCCUGAGCAGCAGGUAAAGCGCAUUUGUGAGACCUCGGCAGCCCUGCUACCCGGCCCAAGCCGGAUCCCGACCCCGUAUCCUAGCCUGAGGGGUGUGGUGCCCGGUGCUCCGACUCCUUCCUAGGGUCCUGGUGGAGGUACCGGGAGUCACUUGUUCCUCCCUUGGAGUGAGGCCCCCUGUCCGGCUACCUCCGCCAUGGGCAACACGAGCAGCGAGCGCGCUGCGCUGGACCGGCAGGGCGGCCACAAGACGCCCCGAGGGGACAGCUCGGGGGGCUCCAAGGAUGGGGACAGGCCCAAGAUCCUGAUGGACAGCCCCGAGGACGCUGACCUCUUCCACUCCGAGGAAAUCAAGGCUCCGGAGAAGGAGGAGUUCCUGGCCUGGCAGCACGAUCUGGAAGUGAACGACAAAGCUCCUGCCCAGGCUCGGCCAACUGUCUUUCGAUGGACGGGGGGCGGAAAGGAAGUUUACUUAUCUGGGUCCUUCAACAAUUGGAGUAAACUUCCCCUCACGAGAAGCCACAAUAACUUUGUAGCCAUCCUGGACCUGCCGGAAGGAGAGCAUCAGUACAAGUUCUUCGUGGAUGGUCAGUGGACACACGACCCUUCUGAGCCGAUAGUGACCAGCCAGCUUGGCACAGUAAACAACAUCAUUCAAGUGAAGAAAACUGACUUUGAAGUAUUUGAUGCUUUAAUGGUGGAUUCCCAAAAGUGCUCCGACGUGUCUGAGCUGUCCAGUUCCCCACCAGGACCCUACCAUCAGGAGCCUUACGUCUGGAAACCAGAGGAGCGGUUUAAAGCACCACCCAUCCUCCCGCCACAUCUUCUCCAAGUCAUCCUGAACAAGGACACAGGGAUUUCUUGUGAUCCAGCUUUGCUCCCUGAGCCCAACCACGUCAUGCUGAACCACCUCUAUGCACUUUCCAUUAAGAUUAGAAGGCCGUUAAGAGGCUGUAAAAUCGAGCCCCGUGGAACCGCUCGACCACAGGGGAAGCCGAGGAAAAGCAGCAGUGAAGGCCCCGGCUCGCGCAAGUUGGCAGCAUCCCCGCUCCGAGGUCCUGCUGCUUCUUGCUCAUUGACAAGCACCACAGGGGAGCCUGGGAUCAUGACGCCCUCUUGGAAGACACCAGGAUGUUCUGGAGUCAGCUGUUCUCACCAGCUAAAAGGGCCUCUGUCCCUUCUACCAAAAAGAUGGAAGGUUACAGUGUCCCUUUAGUAAUAAGCCUUUUCUUCCCAGGCAUCAGGAAACGUAAAUAAAUUUGAGAGAAAAGGGAACCCCUCAGGUCAUCUGGUCCACUUGAGGUGGAGAAAGCUUAGAAGGCAUUCCUAGCUGGGUAAUUAGCCGUCUCACUCUGAAAACCCAAGUGAUGUGGGAACCCUAGAUUUAGGGAUUGGAGGGAUUAUUUAAGUAGACUAAGGAAAUACAUAAAAAUCCUCUAUCCAAAACUGAAUCAAAACUUUUUUCUAUUUUUUAAAAAUUACUGAAGUAUAGUUGAUUUUACAGUAUUGUGUUAGGUUCAGGUCUACAGCAUAGUGAGUCACUAUUUUUUGUAGCUUGUGUGUCAUUGUAGGUUAUUAUAAGAUACUGGGUAUGAUUCCCUGUACUAGGCAGUAAAUCCCUGUUGCUUAUCUAUUUUAUGUAUAGUAGUUUAUAUCUGUUAAUCCUGUGCCCCUAAUUUGUCCCUCCCCUCCCUUUCCCCUUUGGUAACCAUAAUUUUAUUUUCUGUAUCUGUCUGUUUCUGUUUUGUGUAUACAUUUGUAUUAUUUUUAGAUUCCACAGAUGAGUGAUAGCGUAUAGUAUUUAUGUUCUCUGACUUAAUUUCACUAAGCAUAAUAUUUUCUAGGUCCAUCCACGGUGCUGCAAAUGACAACAUUUAUUUUUAUGGCUGAGUAAUAUUCCUGUGUGUGUGUGUGUGUGUGUAUGUAUGUGUAUACACACCACAUCUUAAGUCAGUCGUCUGUUGAUGGACACCUGGGUUGCUUUCAUGUCUUGGCUAUUGUAAGUAGGGCUGCUGUGAACAUGGGGUACGUGUAUCUUUUCAAAUUAGUGUUUUCAUUUUUUUCUGGGUAUAUACCCAGGAGUGGAAUUGCUGGAUCAUGUGGUAGUUCUAUUCUUAGGUGUUUUUGAGGAGCCUCCAUACUGUUCUCCACAGUGGCUGCACCAAUUUACCUUCCCACCAGCCGUGCAGGAGGGUUCCUUUUGUUCCACACCCUCUCUAGCAUUUGUUAUUUGUAGACUUUGAUGAUAGCCAGUCUGACCUGUGUGAGGUAUUACCUCAUUGUGGUUUGGAUUUGCAUUUCUCUGAUAAUUAGCGAUGUUGAGCAUCUUUGCUUGUGUCAUCUUAGAAAAAAAUGUUCAAGUCCUCUGCCUAGUUUUUGAUUGGGUUGUUUGUUUUUUUGGUAUUGGGUUGUAUGAGUUGUUUGUAUAUUUUGGAAAUUAACUCCUUGUUGGUUGCAUCAUUUGCAAAUAUUUUCUCCCAUUUUGUAGGUUGUCUUUUCAUUUUGUUGAUGGUUUCCUUUGCUGGGCAAAAAGUUUAAGUUUAAUGAGGUCCCAUUUGUUUAUUUUUGCUUUUAUUUCUUUUGCCUUGGGAGACUGAAAAUACUGCUGUGAUUUCUGUCAGAGCGUCCCGCCUGUGUUCUCUCCUAGGAGUUUUACGGUGUCAUGUCUUACAUGGGUCUUUAAGCCAUUUUGAGUUUAUUUUUGUGGAUCAAAUAUUUUUGAAGUAUAAUUGAAAAUACAUAGCUAAGCUCAAAAGUAUAAAAGGGAUAUAUUGAAGUACCAGAAUUGAAGAAACCGUUGCUGUGUUGGUGAGCUGUGAGCGUGGCCCCUGGCCCCAUGGUGGAAACUCAGAGGGUGGGGUGGGGGGGUAGGACCCAGUCAUAGGCCUCCAGGACCAGGGUUUGACACCCUCACCUGGAUAGGAAGCCCGCUUCAUGAGUUGGCCCAGAAAAGCACUGCCUUUUCUGUAAGAGGAGUUAGAGAAUCUGGCUGCUGGCCUGAGUCAGGGCUCAGAGGGAGUCAUCAGCCCCAGGCUGCAGGGGGAAACAUCAUGUUGGAAAAUCUCACCUGCAGAUCAGCUCUGCUCACAAAGUUCAGAUAAAGCCAAGCCAAAAAUCCAGUGUAAAAACUAAUUUGGAGCCAGUAAACCCAGUAAGAGUCCUCUGCAGCCCUGGGGCCACGGGGGACUCCCAGGGCAGUAACUGCUAGGGUGGGGAAAUGUAGCCAAAACACAGAACCCUGGGAUGUGGGUGUCAGCAUUCUCCACAGCUGUUCGUGUGUCUAAAAGGCUUCAUUUUCUUUAAAAAGCAACACAAAAGGAAGUCCCCUGUGGUCCAGAAGACUGCUAACAGACCUAGGUGAAAGUCUCUAUACCCAAGAAGCUAAAAGUAAUGGAGAUUAUUUCAUGGAUAUGGAACAGGAGACCCUGUUUGGUCCAAAUCACAGGAGCAAAGCCACACUGAGGUGUCCUAUGACCCAGUGCUACAGACUGCAGCUUGUGGCCGGUGAGUUGGCAAGUCCCAGAGGGUGUCGGUUCGGCGGGAGCUGUGGGAUGGAACUAGUGCAUUGGCAGAGCAACCCAAGGGGGCAGCCAGGUCGGGGGGCAGCGCAUGCAGUGAACCGCCAUGCAGAACUCCUGGGGCGCUCUUCCCAGCCCGGGGAGCCAGGGAGAGUGCGCCAUCAGGACAGGAGGUGAGUGCCCCCGGCCCCCUCCUGGACCCCCAUUGGUGCUGGGCUCAGAGCGAGUCUGUUGCAUGCUUUCCUGGCCAGAGCUACAUGGAAAGUGGAGACAGCAGGCCGGUGGGUGACGCUGAGGGGCAGAGAGGGAAGAGCUCCUCGUGGCCCCUUGGCCCCAAGUCACUGCCUGUGAGCCGGGCCCGAUGGCCUCCGUACAUUCGCAGCUGGUGGGAGGGGAAGUCGUCAAGGCCAUCAAAGGCAAUGAGAACGGUAAACAUUUGGCUAAGAUGUCACCCUGGGUAAGACAGGGCCAUCUGUGAGGAUGGACUGGAAGGAGAGUGGACCUAGGUGAGCGUGGGAGGUUAGCCAGUGGCAGGGGCUCUUCUACGAUACAUGUCGGUAGUAAAGACCUGAUUGUGUGACCUGCUACAAAUGACUACAACAGGAAAUACGGUGCUAUUCAAAUCUAUUAAGAAGUCUCUUGUCUUUAAAAAAUAAAUAAAUAAAAAUAAAACAGGAAAACAAAAACCCAACCAACCCUAGGAUCUUAAAGUAGCUAUUAGGAUUCUAACCACGUCGUAGUUAGCCCCCGGUUGGUUUCCUGUGAUGAACGGGUACAGGCUAGAGCUAGGUACAAAAGUUUAUGAAUGCUUUGAAAGAGUAACAAAGUGCAAAGAGGGUAGACUGCAGGAGGGUGCCGGCAGCUCCCAGGAGCCCCACGCCCCUCCUGGCUGCAGGGUGUGUCCGUGCUGAGGCGGGUCUGGGUCCAGCUGUGCCGUGGGCACUGGGGUCCCCCCUUCAGCAGCGUUCCAUAGUGCGGUUGGUGUUUUCCUGCAGUUCAAGAGGAGUUGGGUUUUCUGGCUGAGAUUUAUACUGAAGACUGGUCCCAGACCUAGGAGGAGGAGGGGGUUUUGCCAUCAGAGGUCAGAAACCGCUGUGCUCACUUUGCAAACAGGAAGCCCAGACUGGGGUGUGCAGGAGCACGAGGCCUCGCCUUCCUGCCGUGAGCUGAGCUUGCGGAACUCACCGCAGAGUCCCCAACACUACCAGCAGGGGUGCCAACAGUGAACUGCGGAUGGCAGCAGGACUACUGUUACGCACCCCAUUUUAUCCAUAAAUCAGAGGAGAUAAGGAAAAGCAUUUAAACGGCUUUUCCCCCCUCCCUGUAGCAGCAGGGGUGCCAACAGUGAACUGCGGGUGGCAGCAGGAGAGUGCAAUCCAGAAAACUGGCCCCUGGAACCGGCUGGCCUGCUGAGGAGACACCAUGCUCUGGAGCCUCCCCGUGCACUUGGGGGGCCCCUAGUCUUCGGCACAUCCCUCCAUCAUCUUCUCAGUUGCUAACCUAAAAAUUACACAGGUAGUAAAUACAUGCACGUGAUUUAAAAAUUUUGAAAGGUUUGGAGUUCUUCUAGAAGGCAACCACUGUUACCAGUUCGGUGUAGCCUUCCAGAGAAACUGUUGAUGUAUAUGUGUUUGAAAAAGUAAGGCAUCAAACCUUUUGAAUAGCGUUUAAGAAGGGUGACUACACGUCUGUAUUUGUUUGUAUGCAGAGAGGCUCUCUAGAAACUGCACGCUGGCUGCCUCCGGAAAGGGAACGCCAUAGCCCUGGCAGCUGUUACGGUUUGAGGCGCACACAUUAUCCAUCUGUGCAGCAGGAAGCCCCUUCAUAAGACGUUCUCUUCCUAAGCUUAAGUCCCGCAGACUCCGAAGUACAGUAGCGGCGCCCCUUCCCUACAACAGUGGCCCCUCGGGGAUGAGGAGGGCACCUCACUCACCUUGUUGACCUGGGACAGCGGGGUCCUCACGGCUCCCACGGGCAGCCGGCCCCUGCUGCCGUCCUCAAACAGCCUCCCGGGGGAGCGCUCCCUGCGCGUGCUGAGCAUCCGGCCGGGGGACUUCUCCCGCUCCAGGGGGCGGCCCGGAGACUUGUCCCUGCGCAGCUCCGUCCGCCCCUCGCGGUAGCGGUGGGGCGUGCCGGGCUCUCGCGGGUGGCUGGGGCCUUCAGGGGGCGCCGGGCUGGAGGCCACACGCUUAGUGAUGUGCUCGUUGUACGUCGGCGGGCCUCGCUUGUUGGGGCUGCGAUAAUGGGAGAGGAAGGUGGGGAGCUGAGCCGUCACAACCCAACGGGGCAGCUUCCUCCUCCUCUGAGCCACCCUGUGCCCCCAUCUCACCACGCGUUAUUAGAAAACGACCCCACCGGGAAUUCUUCGAGACGCUUGUACCGACAGUGAGGCCAGGGAAAGAAGGCAGCGGUGACAGCAGAGGGGAAUCAGUCUUCCCGGUCGCGACACAGGCUUUCUGCUGAGCGCCCACAGCGUGUCGGGCCCUGUGCUAAGCUCUUCAGGUACCUUAACUCGCCAGAUCACCCUAACAGCAGCUCUGCAAGCUAGGAACGGCCGUGACCCCCGUCGUACAGACAAGCAGCUGGAGACACAGAGAGGCUGCGAUCCCAGUGCAGCUCAAAAUGUGGAAAUUCCAACAACCCACGCUCAGAAAGCCAGAACUUUCUUGUGUGUGCAGCAGUAAAAUUUGAGAUAAACCUUGAUUUCAAGAUGUCGAAAUCUGAGCUAUCUUCAUCUCUUGUCCUGUGGCUUUGUGAUAUAGAAGACAAAAAAAGAAAUUUCCAGUAAGAGUAUCUGAUUUGUAAUGGAAGAGAAAUUAUAAAGCGUGUCAGGGGCCCAUCGUAAAGCAAGCUCACUGCCCAGAGGAAGAAAAGUGGCUCAAGGAAGGCCAUUCGAGAAGUCAGCCUAGGUUGAUGGGAUAAAGGAAAACACUCGUCAUUCUGGGCGGAGCAGGCCAUUUUCCAUCUCCAAAUCCCUUAAUAACCAAUGCUCUACUUGCAAAGAGUUACAUUUCCUGCUCUGCUAAACAGACCUGGGGGCAGUGCAGCCUGCAGUGAAUCACAUUCUCCCAAGCUGGCCUUCUCCAUUCUGGACCUGCCCAAAGCAGACAGCAGCAAAAAGACGGUUUUAUAAGCCGAGAGGCAACUAAAGGAAACUGCUGGUUCUCCAGACAUGCCCGGCAGCAGCAGGAACAGCAGCAGCAUUAUUUCUGCCCCUUGUUCACAGGAACUAGAACCAUUUUCCACGACAGAGGAAGUUACCUCCUUACAGAGACACCAUAUCAUCUCAAAAGGAAGGUGCCUGGCCAUCUAACUAACUAACUAGUGAGGCAGUGGAGAAAAGAAGAAAAAUCUAAUUACAGUACUUGGGUUGGCUCUUGGCAUGACUGACUUGGAAACUAAAUAAAAUCUAGACAUUGUCAGGAGAGGACUACAGCCCUUCGAGCAGUCUCUCCUGAGGCACGAUCAAGCCACAAAGAGUGAGAAGCAGCUGCUUAUUCAGCACUUCUGGUUUUCCAGCAAGUUCCUGGGACUAAAAUCACACUGACCAAACAUUUCUGACCAACACUUACAUUUCAACAAAAGAAACAGACACUAGUCGUCAGGACAUAGUCUCAGAACAUUAAAUUGACGACUCUCUUUUCUAAGAUCUAAGCAGCAUUUCAUAACAUUAAAGGUGGUUCCUCCACCAAACUGAGUCCCUUGAGAAUAAAAACCACCUUGUCUUCAGCUGUGUAGCCCCAGACAUUUUGUCUGGCACAUGGUAGGGGGUCCACCUAACUCUCUAUAAUAGGGUAGACAUGUGGGGUUUGUAAACCAGUCCACAAAAUUAAAACCCUAGGUCAAUUAAAUAUUCCCCUGGGUUAAAUAAGCUCAUCUCCUUUGUGGACCAGGAUCUUAAAAUUACACAUCUCAAACCUACACAUCGAACCGAAUCUGGCUCCGAGCCCUGGGUGUCAAGACAAAGCCAGUUCCACUUCCACACACUGCUGGUGGGAUAACUAAAGGGUACAGCCCCUAAGGAGGAAAACUCACCAUCUAUCAAAACUACCAACGCCCAUCAAUUUCUUUUCUAGGAAUUCAUCCUCCAGGUAGAUUCCUAAGCAUGCAAAAUGAAUGUACAAAGUCAUUUACUACAGCAACAGACUGGAAACAACCCAAACAUCCAGUGAUAAAGGAGCAGUUAAAUAAGGUACAGGCAGGUGAACGAAUGCUAUGCAGGUGUAAAAAAAAAAAAAAGAAUGAAGAAAUACUUCGGAUACUGACGUGGAGCAAUCUCUAAGACACAGAAGAGUGUGCACAGUAUGCUAUCGCCUGUAUUGAGAAGAAGGGGAAGAGCACUUCCAGAAUGGCCGAGCAAGGACUCCCAAAAACCUGUUUCUCCAUAGAAACAACAAGAACACUGGCAAAAUUGUCAAAAUCAACUUUCUGGAACUCUGGAAAUUAACCAAAGUCUUGCAACAAUUCAGAGAGUGUUUAUGCAAGAAAAUGUGCAAUAUUCACCACCCCUGUCUCCCCAGAUCUGCAGUAGUUUUGAAAGCAACAGCCUUGUAACCAGCUGUGAAAACCAGCACCCUGGUAACCACUGGAGGGAGUACAUUAGGACUGGAGCUUCCCAAAAGCCCCAGCCUUGGAAAACUGUCACUAUCUGACCUAUCUGGCUCCUCCCUGGAAAAAGACCAUCCUCAGGGCUUGUUUUUAAUUGAGCUGAUUCAGGUCUUCCUCUCUAGAAAUGCCCUAUCUCUAGAUGUUUACCAAAAAAAAAAAACAACAAAAAAAAACAAUGGCUACUGUUUAACAUGGCAAAUGCCUGAGGCAGUAAGACCAGUUGGGAAAAACAAGAGGCCAGCUACAACACUCAAAAGGAAGUCCUGCAUAUUCCUGGGGAUCUGUAAGGCCAGACACACACAGGUAAGCCUGUCACAUACCCGGGAAGAACCUUCCAAGGCCUCGUCUGUCAGCCACAGCUGACUCUGAGUGCUGCAGGUGUGCCCCAGCACAAAUACACAGUCGCUCAGCAAAGGGUGGGUUCAGUGCAUUUAAGGAAAUCUCUUUCCAGUCAUUCAGCUGACCACCCCUAACCAAGCAGAAACUUCAAUGGCUGCACAUAACAAAGGACACCGACUACAGAUUUAGUACAAGAGACACUAAACCAAUAGCAACAACAACACACCCAGGGAGGGGAAGGGGGAGCCGAUUUGCCACGUUGUAUUAUUUGAAAUGUUCAGUUUUCAACAAGAAAAAACUUACAAGACAUUCCAAGCAAGAGUAAAUAAAUAAAGUAUAUAGCCCAUAC